GUGUGGGGAGGACUUGGUUCCACCAGCAACCCCACAUUGUCCCAGCUUUCCGCCAGAGAGAGGGGUGCGAAGUCAUUCAGGGCAGAAACGAGCUCCCUGAGGUCCAUGAGGGCGCGGGCGGGCAGGCGGCCCAAAGCACGGAUGCGGUGGAGAGGCCGGCGAAGCAGCGCCGUGCCAGGCAGCAGCAUGCGACGACCUGAACAGGAGGAAAACAGGCCGGAACGAGCCUGGGUAACCCACUGGCCGGAACAGCAGCGGAGCGCUCGGGCUGCGGAUGCCGCCCCGCGGCCGGGUCAGCGCGGCCCUGCACCCAACGCGCGGAGCUGGAGGGUCAUCCCCCUCCCCGCGGACACCGACCCGCAGAGCCCGGCCGCGGAGCCGUCCCUGCCUCGGCGGAGGGCAGCGGGUGACACCACAACCACCUCACGCAGGGAAGGGCCGGCGCUGCGGGGCGGGACCUGCGCUGGCCCCGCCGCUUCCGCCGCGCUCCGGGCGCUGGGGCGGCCCCUCCGGGUGAGAGCCGGCCCGAGGCGGGAGACGAGCCGCUGCUUCCAGACGAUCCGUCUGGAUCCAGCCCCGGCAGGUACCUGGCCGUUGCAGGUGCUUACAGCUGUCAGGAGCUGGCUCCAAAUCACAUUUCCACUAGGAAAUUGCUGUAUAGAAAGCUGCCUCAGCUUUUUGAUAAGCAGACAUGGCUGUCACGCUGCAUACUGAUGUAGGAGAUAUUAAAAUUGAACUAUUCUGUGAGCGUACUCCAAAGACUUGUGAAAAUUUCCUGGCUCUUUGUGCUAGUAACUACUACAAUGGAUGCGUAUUUCACCGAAAUAUAAAGGGCUUCAUGGUUCAGACAGGGGAUCCAUUAGGCACUGGGAAAGGAGGUAACAGCAUCUGGGGCAAGAAGUUUGAAGAUGAAUUCAGCGAAUACCUAAAGCACAGUGUCCGUGGGGUAGUGUCAAUGGCAAACAAUGGCCCGAACACCAAUGGAUCGCAGUUCUUCAUCACUUACGGCAAACAGCCGCACCUGGACAUGAAGUACACUGUGUUUGGAAAAGUUAUUGAUGGCUUGGAGACCCUGGAUGAGCUGGAGAAGCUGCCUGUUAAUGAGAAAACCUACCGACCUCUUAAUGAUGUUCGUAUUAAAGAUAUUACAAUCCAUGCCAACCCUUUUGCUCUGUAGCCACAGAGGCCUCAACACAUUCUUUAGAGACUGGUCAGAUCAGCUCCCAGAUCAUGGGGUUUAAGGAGCCAUUAAAAAGGGUUACUUGCGCUGGAUCAAAGGAUUAAAGAACAUGCUUAGAGGAGUGCUUGCUCUUGUACUGCUGUGUUGAAAUGGCAACCUCUUCAACCUCCCAAAAAGCUGGGGGAUUGCAGGUGAACUAAUUGGCCUGACCAGGAUAAAAGAAAAAGACCACUUUGGAGAAGCUGCUAUAAUGCUGAGAAGGAAAAGGCCCACUGUUCAGAAGUGGACAGGAGAAAAAGUGCUGCAAACUUGCUCUUUCUGAAACUCCGGACAGAUGAGAUUGUUGCUGUUUUGGAUGAAGGUACUUCUGGAGUAGUGGAAUGCAUCAGUCACAAAGCGUGUUUCAUUAAAUACAUGUAAUUUUUCUUAUCGAUACUGUCACAGUGGGGUUCAUAAAGUGUUUGCUGAUUGCAUCAGGUUUAAUCUUUACAUCUUUGUAGGCUGUUAAGUAUUUCUUUACGGUUGCCACAGUUCCCAAACACUAAAUAUGUUACCACAACAUGCUGAAAGCAGUACUUAGACAGGAGAGUUGUGCAGGACUGGUGGCUGAGACCUGUUAAGAGGAUGAGGGCUGAUGGAGGUAGGUGACCAGGACACUGUGGGGUGAAGCUGCACUCCCCCACACUGGGCAAUCCUGGGGCCUGGAUCACCCCAGGCCUGGGUAAUGAGGAAGCUGUCUGGCACCAUGUAGCUAACUUAAAGCUUAGCCUGUGGUGAUGCAAUGCUGUUUGGGUUCUCUCAGUGAGUCUGUUGCGAAUCAGGAAUAUAUUUUGUAUUUUAUGGCAGUUUUACUAUGUGCAAGGUAGUAGGCAACAAGAUUGUCUUUCUAGCCACUGUAGAAGGCACUUGAAACCUCAGUUAACAUUUUUACUACUUAAAGACUGAAGAAGGCUGGUCAUUUUUGACUGACAGUUGUGUAAGGCUGUGAGAUGUGGAAGUUCCUCUAGUAUUAGCCCAGUAUACAUAAAUACAGUGGGGAAGUAGGCGGGACUUCUAACCUCUAAGAACAAUACUGAUAUAUACAGGAUCAAGUAUGGUUUCAGAAUUUAAAUAUGAAAUUUUAGUUGUAUUUAUGCAUAGAUGAACUUUGGUUAUAUUGUCAGCAUGUAGUAAAAAAAAACCCCUCAAACUUUUCUGGUAAGGCUGCCAUUGUUAUAAACAAUGUAUAUCUGAAUAUUUUUAGUCACUGUUAUAAUCACUGUUAUAAUCACUGUCCCUUCAGAAGAGGCAAACAUGUAUUUGUGAAAAGUCAAAAAGAUGGUAGCUACUCCGGUGCAGCUUAGGAAGUCCUAGUACUGGAAUAUUUACAGGGACUGGGUCCCAGCAGUACACUAUGAUUAUAGAAAGCCACCUUUUACUUUGUUUCAGCUUUGCGAUUUCUGUGACCUCACUUUCUGUAACAUGGGAAAUACUUCUCAGUGCUAAUACAACUGUUGCAAAUCAUGUGUUGUUCCUGCCUUUGUAGUCACUGUGCCCAGAUCUUGGAAUGGUUUGAGCACCACGGACACCAUAUGCAUUGUUUCUGAGCUCGUGGGACUCAGCACCUUUGACUUGCAUUGAAGAGAAUGCUCUCUGCCAUUUAAGCUGGAUCACAUUAGACAGAUGGCAUAGCAGACCUGCAGAUCUGAGAACUGUAAGGAUGCUUCCUUUUUGCUUUAUUUGUUAUGUGAAUAAAAAUGUCUCUUGAUUUCCUUUCAGAGGUGAGAGGUGUGGCAAAAAAAAACCUGGCAAUGAUGAAGCAAAUGCUGCGGCCGUUGCUGUAUCACAUGAUGAAAGAAAAGCUGGAUUGCUACAGUUUAAAUAUUUUCAGAUUAGGUUUAAGAGCAAACUUUUUAAAAAAAAGUUUAAUAAUCACAGAGUCAUCCUUUUGCUGUAUUUAACAAGCUGGCCACUCUUGUGGAAUAUUCCCAGAUCAAUUCCCAGGUUAUGAGCAAACAACUGGUAAACUUCUACUGAAGGGACAACACAGAAUUUUGAAUAACAGACUAUGUUCUGUUUGUCUAGGGAAACACAGGUGUUUCUGUGCUGGCCAGCUGGCUUGGGAUGAACAGAGUCCUGCAGGCAUACAUAUAUCAACACACCAUAAGCCACUGAAAGUGAGAUGGGGGAAAUGCUUUUGUGGAGAGGAGCUUCAAGUGCAAUUAUAAGAUAAACAACAGAACAUCUUGAAUUUUCAUGAAUGAAUUCAUAAUGAUGUGCCAGGAUUCCGACCACAAAGAAUCUCUUUGACCUUGUUCAGAAGACACUGGAGUAUGACCCGAACAACUGCACUUCUCUUAAAGAAGCACUGCAGCAGCCUCUCUUCUCUCUCUUCUGCCCAGACAUGCAGAAAAAGGGUGCAGGCUUCUGAAGCCAAGCAGGCUGACUCACAGGGCAGUGCACCAAAGAAACCUGAAUGCCACUGACUACUUAUUACUUGGUUAUUUUGUAAAUACUUUAUGUUGUAAAUGCUUUACUUAGUAGUAUGACUUUUUGGAUACUUAAGUUCAAUCCAGCUGCUGACAUCGAACUUAGUAUAUUGAUGAACCUGGUUAUGUUUUCUCAUUAAAUCAAACUUGUGGGACACUGGCACUUUUAACAUAUGGAAAAGAGCACCCUAACACCAAGGAAGUAUUAUUUUAAUUAUGUUUUAUUCAAUGGUCCUUGAAAUAGCAGAAGACCUGCUUUUUACCCUUUAGUGUCACUGUUGCUUUCUUUUUGGAUAAGGAGCAGAGAUAUCCCUUGACAUUAAGUGUAAGGAUGGCCUUUAUUUGCUUUAAAAAAAAAGUUACAAAGUAAGGAAGAUCACUGUAGUAUUGAACAGAUUGCAUUGUGAUGACCAAUUUUUUCAUUAUUUUAUUAGGUGUACUCUGGUUACCAGUAUUUCAGUUAAUGCUCACUUAGCUUACAACAGUAUAGACUUCACUCUUUGACCCAAGCUUUCUGAAUUGAACUGUCCUGAGAAUUUCCAUUAGGAAGUAAAGUUUCAGGGAGCAGAUAAGCAGUUUGGUUUAGCAUGUCAACUGCCAGCAUAAAAGAAUCUUUAAACUUCGAGGGGUGGAGUUUUGGCUGUCUUAGCUUCCAGCAGCCAUGCAUUUACAGAGCAGCACAAAGAAGCUGCCCCCCCACCCCAGCCAGCAGCAUAGCCCAGCUCGAGAAAGCUGUAUAUGGGACAGCACUGCUUGUACUUCCAUGAGGGAAGGGGAAAGGCGCCCCCAGAACUGAUGCUCAGCCGCAGGGGCGCCUGACAGCCCCUCAGGAACACAGGCCACCAGCUGUGACAGCCAGCAGGCUCAGAGGUGCCACUCUUCAUGUCCUACACAGUUAGCAGUCACUGCCACCACAACAGCUUCUCUCCAAUAGCUUGCAGGAGUGGGGCACCCACCUCACCCUGCAGUUGGAAUAGAGGAUUGCUUUAUGCUGGAAGUCUAGUAAAGGGAUGACAGAGUACUUGGGGACAUGGACAGCCACUGAUGAAAGAGGCUAUUUGGAGUAAGUGUUACAGACUGCAGUGCCACACAAGCCAUGGUUGAUUCACUUGGAGACUUUUUACAGUUUAAUCUGCAAGCAGAACUGCCCUGUCUCAUUCACCAUAUCACAUCUACUCCAAUACAGAUAGAAAUUCCAAGGGGUAAGGUGGAUUUCACUGUGGAAGGCUUUAAAUGACAGUAUUACAGUAGAAAAUACAGGAGGUAGAAGGUAACUGAAAGGACAAAUGCAGGUUAGAGUCAAAUCUAUAACAGCUCCAGUAAGCUACUUGAACGUGGUUUUAAAAACUAAAUCCAGUAUUUCAAUAACUAUAGAAAACAGUUAAAAUAAAUUGCCAUGAGAGCCCUUAUAUCAUGCUUGAUACAGGGAGGUAGGAUGUAAGAAUCAGAAGGACACAUGAGACAUGACACUUAUCUACAGCUCCUGUUUGCUUUACUGAGGACAGAGUUUCUCAGGUCAGUCACCUUCUUCAGCUUCAGACUCCGACUCUGCAACAGAGACACCUUGUCAGCAGCCUGCCCACAGGUCAGCCCCCAGCCCCGAGCUCACUGCUGCCCUGCAUCCUGCAUAAAAGCUGCUGUUGGAUCCACAUGGAUUUCACAGGCAAACUUUUCUAGCCAGUACGAGGGUAGGGGACACUCUUGUCUUAGAGAGGCAAUUUAACAUCCCCACCCUUGGCCACACAGUGUUAUUGCACCACGGUUCCCAAAAUGAACAAGCUCCACUUGUGAGCUAAGCUGCUGCUCACCUUCUUCAGCAUUCUUGAGCCAUUCAACAAACUUUUUCAUCUGCUCCAGAAAAACACUCUUUCCUUUAGCAAGAUGUGCAUCUUUGUACCACUUCAAGAUGGGUUCUUCACUCAGAACUUCAGCUGUAAGAUGUGCAAGAGCAGUGAGAACCCCCGACUGGCAGCCUUUGCUUCCCCCCCUAGAAGCAUCACAUGCUCCUUCUGUGGGUAUGGCUGGACAGACCUGCACUAGGAGAGGCUCCUCUUUUAAAAUUCUGAGAGCUGUGCAUUUUGGAUUGGCUGCUGGGAUUUUCCUGAGUACUGCAUCUAGGAGCUGCACUUUUGCUCCCACUAACAGUCUGGGGUAUUUCAGAGUUAUUUGAGGUGACACACACUCUAAGGAUUUCAGUUAAAAGUUAAGAACAGAUACAAAUUCUUUAAAGUCAAAAGCACACCACAGGAAGUGUUUAGCUGUUUUUAAAAUGGUACGAUAUAAUCUUCAGUUUACCAAGUCUCCACAGCUGCACAGCAUGUUUUUUAGUAACACCUUUUAUCAGACAUUAAAAAGAGAGCCUACAACACCCCAGAACAUGGUGGUGGUCUCCAUCUAUGGCUGUUCACAGUCAAUCUUCCCUAAAGGACUUACUAGGACUGAAGCAUUCUGCUUCAGAAAGUUCCAAAACACCCAAUCAACCAAAACAACCCCUCAAAAACCCCACAAAACUCCAAAACUACAACCCCACAGAAGUUACCUUUAUAGAAGAGCACCACUAUUUUCUGGAAGGCCUUCAUGAAGUGAAUGUUGUCAUAACAAUACUCCUGAAUCUUCAACAGAAGAGUCAGCUCUGACUGACCUUGGGUGGUGAAGGCAGCAAGUAGAGGGCUGUAUUGCUGUAACAAGAACAACAAAUUGGCACACGCAGAACACUCCACGUGUACCUCCUGACUAGGCUGGUUUCACAGUCUCCAUCAGCCACUGCUUAUGAAAUUUGCAACCACUGCCCCACCCCAGAGUGCUCCUGCAGCAGCCAUGCUGCCUCUGCCCCAGGAACCUGGCCUGUAAUACUCUCUGCAAUACAAGAGAAAGAAUUCCCCAUCUAAUGCUGUCUCUGCAUUAGCAGGGUUGUUACAAGGCUUUGACACUUGAAAGGGAGCUCGAGACAGAAGGAAGCACAAGCUCUACCCAAGGGGUGCAGAAGUCCAUAGUGAAGUUACAAUACCUUCAAAUGCUUAAUGGCUUGCUCUGCUACCAGCUCCUCCUUUUUGUUCCAUUCCACUGUGCUCAUUACACUUGACCAGAUUAUGGCUACCACAGUCUGUUCCGAGAUGUUGUUUUUCUUCAUCUCCUCCUUCACGUACAAGAUGAUCUGCCAGUUAAGUAAGAGUCAGCACAAAGACCACUCAUGGCACUAAGCUAAAUUAAAACUUCUGUUCUGAAGGUAACCCAGAAGGUUUCAGAACCACACACAACCUCCUUCAUCAUACAUCAGAAUUCAGGACAUUAAGGAAAGGCUACAAAGCUAAUACCAAAAUCCCCUGGUCCUAAUUUUAAUUCCUGGCGAGAGCUAAGUUCAGUAUGAGAGACAGACACACACACAGAAAGCACCUCCACCUCAUCUCCAGACAAGUACUUACAUCCUUGAACGGAUCUCCCCGCGACAUCUGCUCCUGCAGUUCUUUCUGCAGCUCCUUCCGAGCUCCUAUGGAUUGCUGGUUCCGAACAUACUCAGAAAGUUCUUUUAGUCCUGCUUCAGUGAAGUACUUAGAGAAGUGUUCAACACUUUGUUUGUUGGCUGGGAAGAGUUCCUGAAAACAAAGUUUACAAUUUUUUUGUGAAAGAAAUGUGUGUUGAGUACCUUGCUGGCAAAUUCUAUUUUACUAAACUGGCUUAAGCAGUAGGAGAGUAAUUUCAGUGGUACUCACCAUCAGUCUAUUAUCCAUGUUUACUUUGCGAAGACUGACAGCCACUGCAUUAAUAUCUUUCUCAUUUAUCCAUGAUUUGAAGAGCUUGACUGCAAAAGCUGCAGAAACACCUGUGCAAUAAGAAUAGUACUGUUUUUAGUGACAGUACUAAAAACAAAAAACAAAGGGAAUCAUAAGGCCUGAGUUCAGGGCACCUAGUCUGUCAGACCCCUGCUCAGAGCAGCAGCAGCUGUGCCCCAACAACCCUAGCACUGUUUGCAGAACCCCUCCCUGCCUGAGGAUACUGCAGCCUCCAGCACACUGGACUUCUCUUACCAUUCAGGGACAUGAAGUCUUCCUGUACUAAACUUGACUCUCCUUGCUGCAAUUUAGGAAGAAACCUAAAGACAUGACACACCUUUUGCAUGCUGAAAGGUCCCUCUCCAAAAUACAAUACUGCCUCGCUGGGUAACACUAGUGAUGGCAGCCCCAGUGUCAUGCAGGCAAGUCCUACACACAAGCUUUCUGAAAAAACUCAUUUUCUGAAGUCUUAGCAAGACCUUCCAGGUUGUGGGGCAGCACGUUUACCUUUGCUAAUCCUGUAGUUAAUCUAUCACCAGAUGAAGCUAGAGAGCUGCAAGGAGUAUUGUCUUUGUAAUACCCACCUACUUGUCAUGGUUCUGUCCCCCACCAUCUUCCCCUGAAGGAGGAGUUGGGCAACACUUACCUUCUUUAACCAAGUUCUCAUUGUAAAGACUGUUGAGAAUCGAUGCAUUCAGUGUCCCAUUGGCCAGCAGAAUACCCGUCAGCAUGGCCAGUUUGUUCCGCUCAGAUUCUGAGAACCCUUUCAGGAACAGCAGCAACUGCAAGAGAAAGUAAGAAGAGUUGCCCUAAAACUAUCAUCUCUCACUAAACUUUGGACACUCUUGUGUUAAACAUUUUUGUUUCAGUCAAACUGUUCAAUUAGCAGAAGCACUGGUAGUCUUCUCCACUAGUGACAGCACCUUGCUGUUCUUUUAUUAGAAACUUAGAAGUGUUGUAUUUUAAUAAUCCACUUUAUGCUGUAACUCUUCUACAGUGAUUAACUAGCAGAAUUUGAAGGUUUAUUUGUCUGCUGAUAAACACUGUGAUGGUUUCACUCUAGGCCUUCCUGGAGACCUGGAGUCCAAUUCCCUUGGACUAGGGAAUUGGAUUUUAGGGCUCUCAAACCAUGACAAACACCCACUCCGUACCUUUUUGACUUCAUCUUCAAAGCCUUUCUCCAGGUACUUGUAACGCCUGAUGAGCUUGUUAAAAACCUAAAAAGACAGAUCAUAUUAUUUUUUGCUCUAAACUAUCAUUCAAUUACAAUUUUAAAAAAACAAGUUCAGUAAAGUGGGUCUGAACUCUACAGAGAACUUUUAGAACACUGCUACUCUUACCACUUCCAGUAUGCUUCUUAAAGCCACAUAUUAUUCUUACCCAAACCUUCAACUACACAAACAUUUCAUUUUUGACCACUAAACAGUUUUAAGUUAAAUUGUACUCAUUUCAGAACUAACCUGAGCAAAUGCUUGCAUGGUUUCUAGGUCUUCCUGUGCUGCAAAUACACAGACGUUUGUGCGUGUCAUGUCGUCUGCCAAGGUACCACCUGGGGCUGGAGGAGGAUUUCAGCAUUAGUAGUGUUACUGCCCAGGGAGAGUACUGAGUAGUCUCCACAGUAAGAACUCCAGUUCCCAAAACAUGCAACACAUUGUCCUUUUGUGAUGUUGAAUGACCUGGCCACUGAAGAUAUCCCUACAUUUCCAUCUGUUCCACUGCUGCAGUGGAACUUUAAAAUCAGUACCUCAGAUUUGAAUAUUUAAAUAUUCUGGCCCCCUACUGCUAAGUGGAUUGGCAAAACAUCUUGUUUACACGUGACUAAGUUAACACGGCCAUGUAAGUGUCUCUUCUCUUAAGCACUGCUUAAUCAUAGCAAGUGUCUCUAGUGUCUGCAGCAAUAGUGCUUUGUAAGUGCCUUUUACAUGACACAGUAAGUCACAACAGGAGAUUGAAACAUGUAGAGAUGCAUGUUCAAAAUUCAGUGCUCCAGAGAUGAGUUUGAAACUUGAGGUUUCUUUAGGCUGCUUCACUAAUGAAAGUGCAUUCAGGUCACCAGCUUCACUGCCAGAACACCUCAUCAUGGAUUUCUAUGCCAUCCUACAUACAAUGGAGAUCCUUAUGUUAUUAGCCAGAUACACGGCUUUAAAAACAGAGAUGAGUAUUAACAGUAAUAUUAAAAGGUGGUAAGGCAACAGGAUGUCAGUUUUUAUUCUGGCCUCAUCUGACUGAAGAUCAAAGUCAGUCUACUUAGCUAUGUGUUAGAGAGGGACUUGAGUAAAGGACCCCAUAUUACCAGUAACGCAGCAAUGCCUUCUUCCCUUCCCUCUCAGCCUUAUUCCUAGAAGAAACACUUCCUAACACAAUAUGCACUGGUUAAGACUCUUAAAUGUAAACCCACAUAUCUUAACAAUUACAACCUGUUAGGUGAGCAGCUGUUCCUCUUUGCUCUUUACACACGUGUACAUGAGUUUAUAAGACUUUUUGUCAUCACAUUUCACUUCCUCAGUUCCCUGUGUUUUCUGCUGACUCAACCACCUUCUCAUUUCUCACUCCGUGAUGUCUGCUAGAGCCCAUCACCCACUGUCAACAACAAAUGAUUUGUAAUAGCAUUUCCAAGAGCACUUCAGAUUCUUCUGUAAACAAGUUUCCUUUCCAAAAUAAGAGGGCAGGAUGCACAAAGCACAGGAUAAUGUCAGAAUCAUUCAGGGCAACUCCACUGGCCUUGUGACCACAGAGCACACACCUGAAAGAAGCAUUCAUCCACCUCACACCAUCAGAAAUGAACUUGACUAAAGAGUCAAGACCUACAAAAAAAACCAACAAAAAACAACCAAACACACAAUCAACCAACAAAAAAUGCCAAACAAUCCAAUAUCUUUUUUUAAGCCAAAUUUGUACAAUCUACACUUUGAAGAACGCAAACAGGCUCAAGUAAAACUGCAGGAGGGUAUACAGAGCAUUUCUACAGCAAUUGCUUAGUCACCGAGACGGUCGUAUAGUUUACCACAGAUAACUUAAACCCUGUUCCACACACUGAACGGGCUCUUUAGCAGAGUUUUUACACUGAAAGAAAAUUGAGCUUUUGCAGAGUCACGUGAAUGAAGCUGACAGCAGCCACAUCAAAAGGACUUACCCAGCAUUCCACCAGCCACCAGGAUGUCAAAAAGUGUUUCUGCAUAGCGGCGAUAGUCAAGUUUUGCACCAGAAGCAUCAAGAAACUUUGCUACUGCCUCCAAGUCAGUGCCAGUUUCACUUAAACCUUGAAUAAUACAGUCCUGGAACUGAGUAGGGUCAAACCUCUCUUUUUCAUCUGUAAAGAGAAAGUGUUGAAAUAAAAUUUCUGUAUACUGUU